rnacentral:rRNA from 1 species
UAGGGAAUCUUCCACAAUGGACGAAAGUCUGAUGGAGCAACGCCGCGUGAGUGAUGAAGGGUUUCGGCUCGUAAAACUCUGUUGUUGGAGAAGAACGGGUGUCAGAGUAACUGUUGACAUCGUGACGGUAUCCAACCAGAAAGCCACGGCUAACUACGUGCCAGCAGCCGCGGUAAUACGUAGGUGGCAAGCGUUGUCCGGAUUUAUUGGGCGUAAAGCGAGCGCAGGCGGUUUUUAGGUCUGAUGUGAAAGCCUUCGGCUUAACCGGAGAAGUGCAUCGGAAACCGGGAGACUUGAGUGCGAAGAGGACAGUGGAACUCCAUGUGUAGCGGUGAAAUGCGUAGAUAUAUGGAAGAACACCAGUGGCGAAGGCGGCUGUCUGGUCUGCAACUGACGCUNAGGCUCGAAAGCAUGGGUAGCGAACAGGAUUAGAUACCCUGGUAGUCCAUGCCGUAAACG